GUCUAAGGCCAUAUCAUCCUGAAUGUACCCAAUCUCAUCUGGUCUCAGAAGCUAAAGGGCCUGGUUAGUACUUGAAUGGGAAAAGCUCUUCAGAGGAGACUGCUCAGAGACC
rnacentral:rRNA from 1 species